AUUGUGUGUGUAUGUGUGUGUAUAUAUAUAUACAUAUAUACACAUACACACAUAUAAUUAUAUAUUAUAUAAUAUAAUGCAGAAUAAUAUGAUGCAAAAAGAAUGGGCCAUUGAAAAGGUGAAUGGUAGUAUCUUACAAAAUAUAAUACAAAGGGCAGAAUAGCCUGGUACAUUCAGCACUGACCAGGGGAAAGAAAUAUAGUAUCUGAAGGAUGCUAGUAGAUCUAAUCACUAGAGGUGUAGGGUAGGAUGUAGAAAUAUUUCACAGGGCAUUUUAAUAAAAUUUUCUCCAAGCUGGAUCUGAUUCCAUGGCUGCAAAUAAUCUUCAUAUAAAAACUUCAAUGACCAGGCCAGGUAUGAUGGCUCACAGUGGUAAUCCUAGCAUUUUGGGAGGCUAAAGUGGGAGGAGGAUCACUUGAGGCCAGGAGUUGAAGACCAGCCUGAGCAACAUUGGGAGAUUUCAUCUCUACAAAAAAUUGUUUUUAAUUAGCCAGCUGUGGUGGUAUGCACCCAUAGUCCUAGCUACUAAAGAGGCUGAUAAGGAGGAUCCCUGGAGUGAGCCCAGGAGUGAGCUGCAGUGAGUAUUGCACUCCAGCCUGGGCAACAGAGCAAAACCCUGUCUAAAAAAUUUAAAAAACAAAGCACAACAAAACUUCAAUGAUUGAUGACUUGGUGUGUGUAAUUUUUAAAACCUUGAUUUUAAAGCUUGAGUCUAGGAAUGAAAUAUGAGCAUGAAUGUGCACAGGACUGCUAAGAGCUGGUUUGAGCACAAUAAAGAAAUAAGAACUGGGGCCCUUAUCAAAGGCAGACAGCUAGAAAUCUUCACAGGGGAUUUAUGCUCAAGUCCAAGCCUCCUUUCUACCCUGGUAGCUCCAGGAGCUUGUCCUGUCCUUAGCUUCCACUUCCUUCAUAGAUAAUCAGCCAUGAAUGGACAUGAGUGGUCCAGUCACUGGGGAAAGAGAUCCUUCUUGCUGUAAAUACAUGGAUGGUGUGGCUUUGGUGGCCACCUCUGUAAAGUGAGUUGUUGAAAGGACCUCUUAGGAAGUCUAUGAACCUGUGACAUGGUUUGGCUGUGUCCCCACCAAAAUUUCAUCUUGAAUUCCCACACAUUGUAGGAGGAACCCAGUGGCAGGUAAUUGAAUCUUGGGGGCAAGUCUUUCCCAUGGUGUUCUCAUGACUGUGAAUAAGUCUCACAAGAUCUGACAGUUUUAAAAAGAAGAAUUCCCCUGCACAAGCUCUCUCUUUGCCUGCUGCCAUCCAUGUAAAGAUGUGACUUGCUCCUUCUUGCCUCCACCAUGAUCAUAAGGCUUCCCCAGCCACGUGGAACUGUAGGUCCAGUUAAACCUCUUUCUUUUGUAAAUUGCCCUGUCUCAGGUAUGUCUUUAACAGUGUCAUGAAAAUGGACUAAUACAACUGAAUAGAGGAGGGUCCGAUCCCAAAGCCUGAUCAUGCUCUGAGGCAACAAGCCCCUCUUUACAGACUGACACCUUGGCAGUCAGCCAUUCUUCAGCAGGUGAUCCCCUUCUCCAUCCCCCAAGCACCGUCCUGUCAGUGCUGCCCCCUGCUGGCAGGCGUCUCUCACUCUGCAGUGCAGGGGUCCACGGCUGGCCAUGACAGCAGGGCUUACCUGCCCUUGCCACUCAUUUCCACCUGGCUGUGGUUAAGCCCCUUCACCUCUUUAUAUCCCCGAGUUUCUUCUGUUCUUUCACCUACACAGGGAAAAUACUGCCUCAGAACUUACUCACAGCCCAAAUGACAGCAUGUCUAGGAAAAGGUUUUAAACGCUCCUAUCAUUUUACAGAUAUGAUAGGCUGGUAACAACUCCAUCAGCACAUACUUCUAAAGAUGCUCCACGUACACUCAUCAAUAUAAUGCAGAUCACGUGAAUAUCCCCCUCUCCAGCCAUUUGCCUUGAAAUGGACAGAAGUCCGAGACAGGUGGCCAGAUGGCAAGAGAUCUGAGGGUGACCUUAUUUGUCCACCUUAGUGUUUUAUUACAAAAAAGAAAAGUCUUGAUUCACUUCCAUGAAUAAACCAAGUUUCUCCUAAACAUAAGUUUGUUUCUUAUUCUUUUUGGAAUAUUGAAAAUGACCAUGGAGAAUCUAAUUCACAAAACAUCUCCAAGCACCUGAAGAUGAUACUAAUGGUACCUUUCAGUUUGCUCAUCUGUAUACAAAUUAAAGUUAUUUUGAUUCCUAUAUAUCAUUCCCUGCAUUUUACUCUGUGUCCCAUGUAUCAUUGUUUUUACUUCAUUAGCUAACAGUUGAAAGCAUUAGAAACUAUUUUUACUUUACUACUACUACUUUUUUUUUUUGAGACAGGAUCUCACUAUGUUGCCCAGACUAGAACUCCAGGCCUCAAGUGAUCCCUCUGCCUCCACAUCCCAAGUAGUUGGGAUUACAGGUGUGAGCCACCAUGCCCAUCUCUGGGCCAAUUUUUCUUUAAUACCAAACAGCACAAUUUGAGAAUGUCUGUUUUCUUACUCUUCUACUACCAGACUACUUAACAACUGUUCUGAACUAAAGGUGGGUAUAUUCACUUGCCUAGAACUUCUGCUUAAAAUUUAUUUAUAAUGUAGUUGUCCUAAUAAUAGUGUAGCUGUCCCAGUUGUCAUAGUAGUAGGGUAUUUAUAAUGUGACUAAAUAAAUCCCAAAUAUGGCUAAGAUUCUAGAGGAGGAAACAAAGAACACUGAACUCUCUCAUCCUUCCCACUGACUACUUUAGAAGGUUCUGAUGAUUAAUCUCCAUGCUGGAUACCGUGUGGCCCCAACCUCUAAGAGCCUUCAGUUUAUGUCCUUAGGGCGGAUGCACAUAUAGUAAAAUAUUGUUCACAAUGGAGCUGGUGCUUCGAAGGGCAAAACAUGCUUAUAUGAUGAAUCUUGGCAGGAAAGCAAUAUAAUUUCCUACUCACAAAACAUUUUUCUCAGUCCACUCUCUCUGUGCCAUUCUGAAAAAAUCCGGAAAUCACACCAGCAUUCUUUAUUUUUAGCCCAUCCAAAAUUUCACUCACUUGCAGCGUGUGGGCAAGAAGUUAUCUUUAGAACUAUCAACCAAAUGCAUUGGAAUCACAGAUUAUUAGGGCCUGGGUAACUCUCUACGUGAUUUGUUUUUUCUUAGCUUGGGAACCCCAAUAUAGAAAACUCAGCUGGAAUGAGGACCUAAAGUCUUGUCGAGUUGGUUUCUCCCUUUGUCUGCUGCUCAGACACUGUCAGAUGAAGCAACAGAAGCCCCCAGGGAGGAAGUGACCAGCUCAGAACCUCUGGCAGUCACUGGCCAUGCCAGGAGAAGAAUUUGUGUCUCCUGACUUCCAGGAACCCAGACCCCUGCAGAGUCACACUGGUAUCUCCAGAAGUUUCUGAGAGCCUUAUAUGUGCUCCCAUCCUUGUCUCUUAUUGCUGUUCCAGGACUCUCUGCACAGACCAUGACAUCUGCCUGGCAUCACUGACACUUCCACGGGCACUGCUGUGCCCUCUUGUCACUGUCCUUACCAGCUGCAGAAAAUGACUAUAGUCACUACCUGUAUUUUCUUCCUUUCUCUGAUGUGUGUGCGUUUCCAAUUUUUCCCUCCCUUUCCCCUACCAUUUAUUUAUUCCCCAGGCGAGUGGAUAUCUAGCUAGGAUUGUGACCAUGCUAGAGAAGGCAGAGACAUCACCCAGAGCGGGAAGCACUGACCGUGAGACAUGGAGUCUCUCCUCCUGCAGGGAAGGGAGAUACAUUUUCAUUUGCAUAAGGGCUAGUUGUAUAAGGCAAGAGCAUAUUGCUGCUGUUAUCAUUUAAAAGUUUAAUUAUGGAAAGAAGGGUGUACAUGGAUAUUAAAUAAUAAAAAAGGUGAACUAUUGUACACUCAACACCUAUCUCAAGCCCCUGAGCUUGCCUUUCUGAGCUACAGAGUAGAAAGCUAAAAUUAGAUUUCCUGAUUAUUCUUCCAGCUAGGGAGCUUCCUUGAGAAAUUGUGUAGUACAAGACCUGAAAUUAAGAUUCAAUAACAUGGGAAGGCCUCAAAUGGCCUCAUCUCAAGUCCCCUGCCCACUCUGCUAUGGCAGAUAAGGUCCCCUAAGCAAACAGCUCUCCUUGUCAUGGAGACCAGGCCCAGUGUCUGCUUCUCCCUGAGUGGUGGGUUUGAGGCCCCUGCCAGCACACAGAAAUAUUCAAACAAGCCAAUCACAUCCUCUCGUGGGAACCAGGCCUCACCUCUCCCUCUUUUAUUGCAAAGCCUGCCUCCCACAGACCCUGCUUGUUCACUGUGCUCCCAAACAGAAUCUUCAUAUGGCACUGUAUGAGAUGCACUGUCUUCCUACCUGGACACUGAGUGUACAUGACUAAUAAACUGCUGUUUAUCUCAUCUGUCCAGUGCUGGGUGUCAUAUGUUUGGCCAUUCCCAUAGCCUAGAGGGCUAGGGAAACCCUCCCUCACCAAGUACCUGAAGAGGAAGUGGUUGAAAUACAUGGCUCCACCAAAUAGGUGUUGUUGCAUGAGAUUUCGGGACAGAAGUAAGAAACAUGGGAGUAGUGAUGUGCAAAGUACAGAGACAGAGGCAUCUGUUCUUCUAGGGGAGCAAUGGAGAAAAUGUUAGUGUUCGCCACAGAAUACUAUGCAGCCAUGAAAAGGAAUGAGAUCAUGUCCUUUGCAGGACACUGCAUUUUCCCGCUUAUAAGUGGGAGCUGAAUGAAGAGAACACAUGGACACAGGGAGGGGAA